GACGAACCGAGCGAACGUUGUUCGGAAUCACUGGGCUUAAAGGGCGCGUAGGCGGAUUCUCAAGUCCGGGGUGAAAUCCCACAGCUCAACUGUGGAACUGCCUCGGAUACUGGGAGUCUCGAGGGUGGCAGGGGUAUGCGGAACUAUCGGUGGAGCGGUGAAAUGCGUUGAUAUCGAUAGGAACUCCGGUGGCGAAGGCGGCAUACUGGUCCACUUCUGACGCUGAGGCGCGAAAGCCAGGGGGAGCAAACGGGG
rnacentral:rRNA from 1 species